AGGCACUACGGUGCUGAAGCAACAAAUGCCCUGCUUCCAGGAAAAGCCUCUAAGCAUCAGGUAACAUCAAAUCGUACCCCAAACCGACACAGGUGGUCAGGUAGAGAAUACCAAGGCGCUUGAGAGAACUCGGGUGAAGGAACUAGGCAAAAUGGUGCCGUAACUUCGGGAGAAGGCACGCUGAUAUGUAGGUGAAGUCCCUUGCGGAUGGAGCUGAAAUCAGUCGAAGAUACCAGCUGGCUGCAACUGUUUAUUAAAAACACAGCACUGUGCAAACACGAAAGUGGACGUAUACGGUGUGACGCCUGCCCGGUGCCGGAAGGUUAAUUGAUGGGGUCAGCGCAAGCGAAGCUCUUGAUCGAAGCCCCGGUAAACGGCGGCCGUAACUAUAACGGUCCUAAGGUAGCGAAAUUCCUUGUCGGGUAAGUUCCGACCUGCACGAAUGGCGUAAUGAUGGCCAGGCUGUCUCCACCCGAGACUCAGUGAAAUUGAACUCGCUGUGAAGAUGCAGUGUACCCGCGGCAAGACGGAAAGACCCCGUGAACCUUUACUAUAGCUUGACACUGAACAUUGAGCCUUGAUGUGUAGGAUAGGUGGGAGGCUUUGAAGUGUGGACGCCAGUCUGCAUGGAGCCGGCCUUGAAAUACCACCCUUUAAUGUUUGAUGUUCUAACGUGGACCCGUGAUCCGGGUUGCGGACAGUGUCUGGUGGGUAGUUUGACUGGGGCGGUCUCCUCCUAAAGAGUAACGGAGGAGCACGAAGGUUGGCUAAUCCUGGUCGGACAUCAGGAGGUUAGUGCAAUGGCAUAAGCCAGCUUGACUGCGAGCGUGACGGCGCGAGCAGGUGCGAAAGCAGGUCAUAGUGAUCCGGUGGUUCUGAAUGGAAGGGCCAUCGCUCAACGGAUAAAAGGUACUCCGGGGAUAACAGGCUGAUACCGCCCAAGAGUUCAUAUCGACGGCGGUGUUUGGCACCUCGAUGUCGGCUCAUCACAUCCUGGGGCUGAAGUAGGUCCCAAGGGUAUGGCUGUUCGCCAUUUAAAGUGGUACGCGAGCUGGGUUUAGAACGUCGUGAGACAGUUCGGUCCCUAUCUGCCGUGGGCGCUGGAGAACUGAGGGGGGCUGCUCCUAGUACGAGAGGACCGGAGUGGACGCAUCACUGGUGUUCGGGUUGUCAUGCCAAUGGCACUGCCCGGUAGCUAAAUGCGGAAGAGAUAAGUGCUGAAAGCAUCUAAGCACGAAACUUGCCCCGAGAUGAGUUCUCCCUGACCCUUUAAGGGUCCUGAAGGAACGUUGAAGACGACGACGUUGAUAGGCCGGGUGUGUAAGCGCAGCGAUGCGUUGAGCUAACCGGUACUAAUGAACCGUGAGGCUUAACCUUACAACGCCGAAG
rnacentral:rRNA from 1 species